rnacentral:lncRNA from 1 species
AUAGCCAAAUUACUGAAGCAGCCCAAAUGUCCACCAAUAGAUGAAUGGAUAAAGAAGAUGUGAGAUAUAUAUAUAUAUAUAUAUAUCUUUCCCUUUCCUUCAACUUGAGAAUAUACAUACAUACAUAUGUGUGUAUACAGACAUGCAAUGGAAUAUUAUUCAGCCAUAAAAAAGAGUGAAAUCUUGCCCUUUGCAAUGACAUGGAGUUAGAGAGUAUAAUGCUAAGUGAAAUAAGCCAGUCAGGAUAACAAAUGCCAUAUGAUUUCACAUGUGGAGUUUAAGAAACAAAACAAAGAAAAAGGAAACAACCAAGAAACAGUCUCUUAACUAUAGAGAACAAACUGAUGGUUGCCAGAGGGCAGGUAGGUGGGAGGAUGGGUGAAAUAAAUGAAGCCGAUUAAGAGUACACUCAGCAUGAUGAGCAUUGAAUAAUGCAGAAUUACUAUAUUGUGCACCUGAAACUAAUAUAACACUAUGUUAACUAUACCAGAGUUACAACUUUUUAAAAAUUCAAUAAAAAUAAAGUGUCUUUGCACAGCAUCCCAGGACACCUGUGAAAUCCAGACACACACCUGAAAGUGGGUGGAUUGGACUGUGGAGGAGGUUGCAGAGAAACAGAAGUGUUGGCUGUAGAGGCGGUGAUGGCAGAGACAGCUGGGUCUGCCAGGGAGCCAGCAUGAACCUGAUGGCUGAGGAAGUGGGGGGGUGAAUAUGAUAGGUGGGGGUCUGUCUGGCCACAAGUGCUGCAGCUGGAGGCACCAGUUGUUGUCUGUGGUGACUGGGAGCAGAGCAACGAAAGAGUAGUAGGCAGACAGCUGCUGUGUCUGCUCCAGGAGGCAAGAUGACCAGCCACGGACCUCUUGGAGCCCCUGCCCUCCAACUUGAGAAUUCCCCUCUUGGGUUGUGGGCACAACCAAAGCCUCAAGUACUAAGUACACACCUAUGCCCAAUGCACCACAGUUCUUUGCCUUUUUAAUUUUUUUUUUUUCUUAAAUGCUGCACUCCCAACCUUAAUUGUGAGUCAGCUCUGGUGAAAGAAAUUUAAAAAUUUUGCACUAUAGCAUCACUUUCUGGAAAACAAAAGGAAGGCUCCUAACUACUAAACUCCAAUUAAACUCCAGUUAAAGUAAAAGCAGCCAUACCUUAUUAGGUAUUUGCUACUUGAAAUGCAGCAGCAGAAGUGCUUUCCAUAAAAUACCAUGAAAAAAGUACAAAGUGGCUGAAUAUAUUUAAAAAAAAAAGAUAAGAUACAACUGUAUGCUGCCUAACAGGAGACUCAUUUCGGCUUUAAAGACGCACAUAGGCUCAAAAUGAAAGGAUGAAAGAUGAUAUUCCAAGCAAACAAAAACAAAAAGAAGGCAAGCAUAGCUAUACUUAGACAAAAUAUAUUUUUUCUUAAAGAUUUUAUUUAUUCAUCUGGUAGAGAGAACACAAGUGGGAGAGUGGCAGAGGGGGAGGGAGAAACAGACUCUCCAUUGACCAGGGAGCCCAACGUGGGGCUCAGUCCCAGGACCCUGGGAUCAUGACUUGAGCCAAAGGCAGACACUUAGCUGACUGAGCCACCCAGGUGCCCCAACAAAAUAUAUUUCAAGGCAUAAUGGGUAAUAAGACAAAGGUCUCUUGCUUAUAUAAUGAUAAAGGGGUCAAUACAGAAAGAAUAUAUAAUUCAUAUAAAUAUAUAUGCAUAUAUAUGCUCCAAGCAUGAAAAUAUAUUAAGCAAUUAACAACAGAUCUUAAGGGAGAGACAAUAAAAUAAGUGUAGAGGACUUAAACUGCCUCAGUAUCAGCAAUAAGAUAGGUCAUUCAGACAGAAAAUCAACAAGGCAACAUUGGAAUUGAACCACACUUUAGAACAAAUGGACUUAAUAGACACAUACAGAACAUUCCAUCCAACAGCAGUAGAAUACACAUUAUUUUCAAACAUAUCCAGAAUAUUCUACAGGAUAGAUCAUAUACAUAGGCCACUAAACAAAUCUUAGAUAAUUUAAGAUCAAAAUCAUACCAAAUAUCUUUUCUGACCGCAGUGGUAUGCAACUAGAAAUCAACAAGAGGAAACUGAGAAGACAUACAAAUAUGUGGAAACUAAACAACAGUCUCCUACACAACCAUUGGAUCAAAGAAGAAUCAAAAAGCAAAUUAAAAAUUACCUUGAAACAAAAAGAAAAUAAAAAGUUUCAAGUAUUGUGGGAUGCAGCAAAAGCAGUUCUGAGAGAAAAGUUUAUGGCAACAAAUGUAUAUAUUAAGAAAUUGGAGGGGUGCCUAGCUGGCUCAGAAGAGCAUGCAACUCUUAAGAGUUGUGAGAUCAAGCAUGGAGCCUACUUAAAAAUAUAUAUAUAUAGAUAUAGAUAUAAUUAGAAAGAUUAGAAAGACCUGAAAUAAAUGACCUAACUUUAUACCUCAAUGAACUAGAGAAAAGAAAAAUUAAAACCAAAGUUAGGAGAAGGAAGGAAAUAAUAAAGAUCAGAAAAACAAUAGAAGGAUCAACAAAUCUAAGAGCUUGUUCUUCCAAAAGAUAAACAAAACUGACAAACCUUUAGCUAUUGACUCAAAUAAAAUUAAAAAUGAAACAGGAGACAUUACGACUGAUACUACAGAAAUAGUAGAGUCAUUAGAGACUCUUGUGAAUAAUGAUAUGCCAAUGAAUUAUAUAACCUAGAAGAAAUGGAUACAUUUCUAGAAACAACUUAUCAAGACAGAAUCGGGAAGAAAUAGAGAUUUAAUCAGUAAGCAAAAGCCUUUCAGCAUAGAAAACUUGAGGACCAGAUGGCUUCACUUGAGACUUCUACCAAACAUUUAAAGAAUUAACACCAAUCCUCUUCAGACUCUUUCAAAAUAUUAGGGAGGAGGAGGGAACACUUCCAAGCUUGUUGUACAAGCCUGCGUUACAUUGAUACCAAAAGCAGAUAAGGAUACCAUAAAAAAAAGAAACUACAGAUCAAUAUCCUUGACGCAUAUAGAUGCAAAAACUCAACAAUAUUAGCAAACUGAAGUCAAGAACACGUUAAAAGGAUUAUACACCAUGACCAAAUGGAAUUUAUCCCUGGGAUGCAAGGAUGGUUCAACACACAGAAAUCAAUAAAAGUAACACAUCACAGCAAUAAAAUGAAAGAUUGAAACCACAUGAUCAUCUCAGUAGGUACACAAAAAGCAUUUGACAAAAUAACAAUAUCGCUUUGAUGAAAACCCUUAACAGUCUGGGCAUGGAAGGAACAUACCUCAAUAUAAAAAAGACCACCUAUUGCAGAUCCACAGCUGACAUACUUAAUGGAGAAAAAAAAUGAAAGCAUUUCCCCUAAGGUCAGGAACAAUGCAAGGAUGUCCACUUUCACCACUUCUAUUCAAUAUAGUACUAGAAGUCUAGUUAGAGCAAGUAUGUAAGACCAAGAAAAGGCAUCCAAAUCAAAGAGGAAUAAGUAAAAUUGUUAUUAUUGUGCUGAUAUUAUCCUUCUUGUAGAAAAAUCCCAGAGAAUCAGUCAAAAAUCUGUUGGAAGUAAGCUACAAUAUCAGUAAAGUGGCAGUAUAUAGAAUCAACAUACAGGGAUCAAUUUCAGUCCUUUACAUAAUGAUGUAGGAUCUGUAAGUGAAAUAAAGAGAAACAGCCCAUUCAUAGUAGCACCACAAUCCAUGAAAUACUUGGGAAUAAUUUCAACCAAGGAAGUGAAAGAUCUAUAUAAUAAUAACCUUUCUGGGAGAAACCGAAGAAGAUACAGAUG